GUUCACGGCCAUAGCCUCCGGGGUAAGACCCGAACCCAUCAGAACUCGGAAGUGAAUCCCGGAGGCGCCGGGCAUUACUGCCCUCGUAGGGGGCGGGAAAACCCGGUGCCGUGAACC
rnacentral:rRNA from 1 species